rnacentral:rRNA from 1 species
UACAGAGGUCUCAAGCGUUGUUCGGAUUCAUUGGGCGUAAAGGGUGCGUAGGCGGCGCGGUAAGUCGGGUGUGAAAUCUCGGAGCUUAACUCCGAAACUGCAUUCGAUACUGCUGUGCUUGAGGACUGGAGAGGAGACUGGAAUUUACGGUGUAGCGGUGAAAUGCGUAGAUAUCGUAAGGAAGACCAGUGGCGAAGGCGGGGUCUCUGGACAGUUCCUGACGCUGAGGCACGAAGGCCAGGGGAGCAAACGGGG